rnacentral:lncRNA from 1 species
AUCCCUCAGAGCAGAAUCAUCAUGUUGUUCUAGAAUCCCUCAGAGCAGAAUCAUCAUGUUGUUCUAGAAUCCCUCAGAGCAGAAUCAGCAUGUUCUAGAAUCCCUCAGAGCAGAAUCAGCAUGUUUCUCUUCUAUACAGAAUGACUAACAUUAUUCUGAUGUGGGUCCAUGUCUUGAUUUCACUAGUUUUAUUGUAUUUCAGAAUGAUGUAUGUUUCAUAAGGAUAUCAUGUGAGAAAUAUAAACUAAGGCAUGAACCAAGUCUGCUGCUGAGUUCUCCCCCUGACCCCUGACCCCUGACCCCUGACCCUGACUUGUUAAAGCCAGAACCACAUAUGGAUCCUUCGGUGUUAGACUGAUCCCCUCCAUGGAAGGACCCUAUUCCACACGCAACAGAUCCCCUCCAUGGAAGGACCCUAUUCCACAUGCAACAGAUCUGAUCCAUGGAAAAGACUAAAUUCUCAUAUUUCAGAGUCCCAUCUUUAUGAGAUUCUGUCUCUGCAUAAUGUAUAGAGUCCCCUCCCUCUCUAUCAUAAUACCUGGAUCGUUCUUCACCAUUAUCUCUCCAUAUCCGUUCUUGCUUGGUUUGUUGUAACAGUAUUUUUAUUGGGAGUUUCACAAUUUUCACCCCAUAUUAAGAGAUACAACGACAAGGCAAAAAAUAAAACCAGCCCUCACUUACACAUAUCCGUAUGCUUGCACGCACACACACACACACACACACACACACACACCAUUUCUCUCCCCGCUCAGCGCUUCUCUCACCCCAUCCCCCCCUCUCAUUGCAAAAAAAAUAAUUAAAUAAAUAAAAAAUAAAAGCUCAGUUUAAACCAUGAAAUCGUGUUCUCCACACGGACCGUCCAGUGUCAUUCUAUAAAUACAUAGAUCACCGUUCUAAGAGAGAAUCCCCGCAGCGUUAUAUAGCUGAUACUUCAGGUUCUAGGUAAUGUAAGUAAAGGUUCCCAAUACUCUGUAGAACUGAUCUGUCUUAGAAUGCAAUGUACAUGUACAGAUAUUCCAGCGGCGCCCAUUUCAAACAGUAUCUCUCAUGCCAAUCUUUAAUAGAAGGAUCUUUAUCACUAAUCCACUGUAAAAGGAUGUGUUUUUCCCCCCCCUCCCUCCCUGCGAAGGUGAGGAUGUUGUAAAGCCUCCUCUUAUCCACAGAAGUUACAUGCCUACUAGGGAGACCUAACAGUAGAGAAACUGGGUCCAAUUCUAGAUCGACCCGCUCUAGGAUCUUUUCAAUUUCCCCACCAGACUAAUAUCUUUGUAUUUUUUGGGGUACAUGACCAUAAACAAUGUGUCAGGGUGUCUGAAUCAGUUUUACAUUUGAGACACUGAGGAGAAGAGGAAGAAGGGGCUAAAAUGCAUGUCUGCCAUUUGGGGAUGUAUGCAAUCUGUGUAUUACUCUUAAUUGAAUUGCUCGCGUACGAUUACAGAUAGAUAUUGUCCUCCCACAUCUCUUCGUUCAAUAGCAACAGACAGUUCUUUCUCCCACACUUGUUUCACCCUCUGUGUGUCACACAGCGGGAAAGGGACCUUAUAAAGCAUCAUAAAACAGACUUACAGACGUUUUCCUUUGAGGGGGAAGAAAAAAAGCAUUUUUUUCCAAUGACAGACAGAUCAGGGUUGCCACGUAAAGGUGGUGCUCUUCAGAAUAUAAUGUCUUACUUGUAGGAAACGGGAAAAAAAAGUCCUGCUUUUGGGAAGUUGAUAUUUCUCGACCAUCUGCUCAAAUGACAAUAAAACAUCUUAUCAGCAAAUAAGUCAUUUAGUCUGCGUAUGCUCUUAUUAAGCCAAACGUUAAAGCCAGCAUCCAGCAAUCCUGGGGGCGAAAUCUGGGUUGUUAAGAAUUGGGGUAAGAGCAGAGGUUAGUUUGGACCUUCCCAAGGAAACGAUGAACUGACCUCCAUACUUUGAGUGUGUUAAGUUGUUGCAGUGAUAUUUUACAGACUUGAAACUUGUGAAAAAAAUAAAAGAUCAUGUAAAAGGGGUAUUUUGAAAGAGAAGUCUCAAUGUUUAACCAAAAUAGAG